rnacentral:misc_RNA from 1 species
GUGCUCCUUUGUCUGUGGCAUGGGGCCGUCAGCGCCGGAGACUACGAGAAUGGCGCCGUCCAUCUGCGCCGCACCGGUGAUCAUGUUUUUGACGUAGUCGGCAUGGCCGGGGCAGUCAACGUGGGCGUAGUGACGGUUCUCAGUCUCGUACUCGACGGUGGCGGUGUUGAUGGUGAUGCCACGGGCUCGUUCCUCUGGGGCGGCGUCGAUCUCGUCGUACUUCUUCGGGGCACUAUUGCCCAGGGAGGCGAGGGCCAUGGUGAGGGCUGCGGUGAGGGUGGUCUUGCCGUGGUCGACGUGACCGAUGGUGCCGAUGUUGACGUGGGGUUUCUUGCGCUCGAACUUGCCGCGGGCGGCGCGGACGAGGAGGAGGCCGGGGCGGCGGUGGCGAAGGAGGGGAGAGUGGGGGCGGAGGGGGCAGAGUACAGAGGAGGAAGAGGAAAGGAGGGUGGAGCUGCUGCUGAGGGAGGAGCGGAGAGGUUUGGGGGAGGCAGCGGAGGAGAGGGGGAGGAGGAGGGUGGAGGCGGCGGAGGCGGCAGCACCGGCGACGGUGAUGGAUGCCAUUGAGGGAUGGAGGAGGGGAUUGGAUGAGAUAGGGUUUGGGGGAGAGCGG